CUGGUUCUCGCGGUUCUCGCAAUAAAGGGUGGUUCCUAACGGAUCUUUUCCCUAUAUAUAUAUAUAUAUAUAGGGAAUUGAUAAAUCGAAAAUCCACCUGAGUUAAAGAAACUUAGAAAACUUCAUCUUCACCAUCCAACUCAUAUGAUCAAUGGUGGAUAUUAAAAAUUUAUAAAAAAGUUACUUUUUUUCAGAAAAAUGUUGCAGUCUGACAAAAAAAUGUAAAAUUUUUACACUUUUCUCUCUCCUCUUUCAACUGACAAAAAAUGUGAUAAGUGUUUUGUUACAUAAAAAUCUUGCUGUAAAAAAAUGUAAAAUGUUUUUUACGCACAUUACAAAAUAAAACUUUGUAAAUUAUCUAUAUCUAUACUAUAUUAAUAAGCAUAUCCAAAGGACAUCUUAAGGUCAUUGAAAUUUUCUUAAAACACCCUAAAAGCAUGAUGUACAAGUCUUUUAAGCAUUAGAAAACAUCUCUUUCCACCUAUACCCUUUUACUAAAAUAACACGGAUACAUUAGAUACAUUAGGGUUUCAAAACAUUUCAAAAUCACCCGCUCCCUGUUCCUCUCUCUCUCUCUGGCGAUUCCAGAGAUCUGGAUCUAGGGUUUUUCUCCAAGGCGAUUCAAGAUCUAGCCUUUCACAUUAACACCAGAUCGAUAAACAAAUCUCAUUCUCCAUUCAGAUCUCAAUCUCAUCUCGCACCUGCUCUCUCUCUCUCUCUUCAACCUUGGUGAUACGGCUGCUACUCAGAAGGAUCUUACAUCUGGUACUACCGUCAAUGUGUGGUGGUGGUUCUGCGACUCUGCAAUGAGAACGAAGUCUAAUGGAAGGACCGGAGUCAAAGGACUGGCUAAAGAUUUGCGAUUCGUUGAACGAUGUGAGGUGACUAGCAUUGUUCCACUCUGAGCUCCUGCUACCGAUCUUGAAAAAGGUCGUGAUGGUUUUAGUGAAAUCAAUGAAGAAUCCAAGAAGUGCUUAAUGCAAGACUGCAAUCAUGGCUGCUUCUGAUCUUUUCAACAAGUUCUAUGAAUUCGGUUUUGCAUCCACAUUAUGGAACGUUAAAAUCAUACUAUGAGACACUCCCAGAUUCAGAUUUAAAGUGCAGAAAUUAUGUGACGAAGGUUGAUAGUGUGGCAGAGUAGGCACAUGAGGAAGUAAUCCAUGUAUAGGUUGGGAAUUGUGACUCGUUUGUAGGCCCGGUUCUAUUUUCAGUAAUUGAUAUCCGGGAACAGCUACGGUCAGGCUAUGGUCAAAUGGAACGGGAGUCGUCCAAAUUGUGUCUUUAAUGAAUAAACCAACUAACUCGCUUAACGUGUUGUUUUGGGUGCACUUAACAGGUGGUUGGACGGGUUUAGUGGAUGAUGAAAACAAGCAGAAAGGCAUAUUCAAUUGCUUGCAGAUCGGACCGGGAACCACGUAUGCUGCCAUUCGGGUUGAUGGCAUUUGGAUCGACUACCGAAUCGGUUUCUACGUAUCCGUUCCCGUUAAGAUGGCCGGUUCUUGGAAUCGUGAUACUUGCUGCGGUUGUCGGAAGUCAAGCUAUCAUCACCGGGACGUUUUCUAUUAUCAAACAGUGUUCGGCAUUGGGUUGUUUCUCGAGGGUCAAAAUAAUCGACACAUCGCCUACUAAUAAGCACGAUCAAAUCUACAUUCCCGAGAUCAAUUGGACUUUGAUGCUUAGCCAUCACAACCGGUUUUCGUGACACCAAACAUAUAAGCAAUGCAGCAGGUAGACAAAGGUAGUAGGUGUCGAUCUUCUUACCAACUGUAACAAAUAGAUGCUGACCAAAAGAGUGAUUGUCCUCUAAAUGAGAUAAAAAUCAUGUUCUUUUUUAUGCUACAUCAAAUUAGAAUAUUUAGUAAUCUACAUUAUAGAAAAUCACACAGUUACAUCGUUGAUUUUUUGUCUUUAUGUCCUUUUUCUCUAAUUUCAAUUUGAAUCGCCAGUAUACAU